GCAGAUGCUGCUGGGCUGCUAUUGCGUGAGUUAGAACUCCAUCCACCUGCUGAGGAAUGGCACAGGAGAAAUAUGUUUGGUGGACCUUGGUCUGAUCCAGAAGAUGUGGAUGACAAUUCUAAGCUUAGCCCAUCAAGGGAUUUGACACAGUACAGCUCAUUAGAAAACUGUGAUGUAUAUUAUGGAGCUCAUGGUUUGUGGCCUAGGAAACGCAGGAUGUCUGAAAGAGAUGCUGCUUUUGGGCUGAAUACUUCAGUGGGGCUGGGUGCAUAUCUUGGUAUAAUGGGAUCUCGACGAGAUGUUGUGACAGCUGUUUGGAAGACUGGGCUUGAAGGGGUUUGGUACAAGUGCAUAAGAUGUUUGAGACAGACUUCAGCUUUUGCUUCACCAGGUGGCAACCCUUCUGCCAAUCAACAUGAGAAGGAAGUAUGGUGGAUCAGCCGGUGGGCAUGUGGCUGUCCCAUGUGUGGUGGGAGUUGGGUUAGUUGUAUAGAGCAUUGGA
rnacentral:misc_RNA from 1 species